rnacentral:tRNA from 1 species
GCGUACUUAGCUCAAUGGUUAGAGCAUCACUCAUCAAUGCUGAGGUUGUGGGUUUGAGUCCCAAAGUACACA